UGCAGUCGAGCGAACAGAAGGGAGCUUGCUCCCGGAUGUUAGCGGCGGACGGGUGAGUAACACGUGGGUAACCUGCCUGUAAGACUGGGAUAACUCCGGGAAACCGGAGCUAAUACCGGAUAGUUCCUUGAACCGCAUGGUUCAAGGAUGAAAGACGGUUUCGGCUGUCACUUACAGAUGGACCCGCGGCGCAUUAGCUAGUUGGUGGGGUAAUGGCUCACCAAGGCGACGAUGCGUNNNCGACCUGAGAGGGUGAUCGGCCACACU
rnacentral:rRNA from 1 species